CUCGCCCAGUCACCGGCAAGCUGGCGACACUGCGCUGCUUCCUCCUCGUGUCUGCGGCCUCGAGAUUAAUUUUUCCCUGCCGUGCACACGUCAGAUGGAGCGGGCGAUAGUUGUCGGGGCACAGGAGGACGCCUCUGUUAUCGGGGCACGGGAGGAUGCCUCCGUCGUCGGGGUCAGAGAGACCAUCAGGCUUAAGCAUAUUUCUUCAGUCUUCUUCAGAGAUCUGGAGGGUUCGAUUCGACGCAACUUCGGGCUUGGGUUUCCGGCGAGCAAAGUCAGCUCAAAAACAUUCCUCUUUCUCACUUCCUCCUCCCAAACCUGGAGCGGGCGAUGUAGUUGUCGGGGCAGGCUUCAACAUAUUUCUUCUGUCUUCUUGAGAUAUCAGGAGGGCUCGAUUCGAUGCAGCUCCGGGCUUGGGUUUCCGGCGAACAAAGUCAGCUCGACAGCAUUCCUCUUUCUCACUUGUUAGUCAAAGUCUGAACUCGGUUUCUGCUAUUUUAUUCGUCAUUGCCAGGAGCAUGCGCAUCGCAUUGCCUUCAACUCCAUGUAAAAUGGAUCAUGACCGCUUACCCACCUAAUAAAGGGCAUGGACAUGGCAAUACAACAUUCUGAAGAGCCGGUGUGGUACGAUCAGACUCCUCUGAGGCGUUGGCUACAUUCUCCGAGGAGGAUUUAUUAAGGGGAAUGGUCCUCGAGGUUAUAGGGGUGGUUGGACCAAUCUAGGGCAGUCCAGAGCUGUCACACUCCCUGACAGGGUUCUUUCCAGGCGUGUGGAGUUUUAGGUUCUUAAAAGACCACACUGACGUGUCUAGCGUAUCGUGCUCCCGGGGAGGCUCCUCCGCUAACGUGUCUUGCGUACCGCGCUCGAUGCCGGGGGUAUAUGCUAACAUGUUCAUAUGCAAACACACUGUUUAGUUAUUCCAUUGGGGUUUUUGCUAGCAGUUCUACCAACAUAAUCGGCGACAUAUUAUAUUGUUUUUUGCUGCACCUUCAUGACCUAGUC